rnacentral:rRNA from 1 species
GAUGAACGCUGGCGGCGUGCCUAAUACAUGCAAGUCGAGCGAACGGACGAGAAGCUUGCUUCUCUGAUGUUAGCGGCGGACGGGUGAGUAACACGUGGAUAACCUACCUAUAAGACUGGGAUAACUUCGGGAAACCGUAGCUAAUACCGGAUAAUAUUUUGAACCGCAUGGUUAAAAAGUGAAAGACGGUCUUGCUGUCACUUAUAGAUGGAUCCGCGCUGCAUUAGCUAGUUGGUAAGGUAACGGCUUACCAAGGCAACGAUGCAUAGCCGACCUGAGAGGGUGAUCGGCCACACUGGAACUGAGACACGGUCCAGACUCCUACGGGAGGCAGCAGUAGGGAAUCUUCCGCAAAGGGCGAAAGCCUGACGGAGCAACGCCGCGUGAGUGAUGAAGGUCUUCGGAUCGUAAAACUCUGUUAUUAGGGAAGAACAUAUGUGUAAGUAACUGUGCACAUCUUGACGGUACCUAAUCAGAAAGCCACGGCUAACUACGUG